rnacentral:rRNA from 1 species
AUUGAACGCUGGCGGCAGGCCUAACACAUGCAAGUCGAGCGAGCGGCGGACGGGUGAGUAAUGUAUGGGGACUUCCCGAUAGAGGGGGAUAACUACUGGACACGGUGGCUAAUACCGCAUACUGUCGGAUAACCCAUAUGGGAGUAGCUGGUAGGUAAGGUAAUGGGUUACCUAGGCGACGAUCCGUAGCUGGGCUGAGAGGAUGAUCAGGCACACUGGGACUGAGACACGGCCCAGAGGCCUACGGAGGCAGCAGUGGGGAAUAGUGCAAAAUGGGCGAAAGCCUGAUGCAGUCAUGCCGCGUGGAUGAAGAGGGCCCUAGGGUUGUAAAGUACUUUAAGUCGGGAGGCGUUACCGACAGAAGAAGCACCGGCUAACUCCGUGCCAGCAGCCGCGGUAAUAC